rfam:Myotis lucifugus cont2.22192, whole genome shotgun sequence.
GAGACACCCUUAUGGGGCAGGACUUGCUUCAGUGGGGCUUUGGUGUUCACUGAGUCUGCCCCAUGAGUGUGUUGCU